GAAUGGAGCAAGACAGAAUUUGAACAAUGCUUGCUUGCGGACCAGGAGAAGGAAAGAGCAGCACAACAACAGAAAUUAGAAAGAAUUCGACUACAACAAGUGCGCCAAGCUCUAAGAGAAAUGAUCCCUCCUGAACCCACUGAAUCGUAUAGUGGAAUAGAUGUCAAACUGUUAUUUCCUGACUCUUCGAGGGCUCAAAGGAGAUUUUACAGUGAUGCUCCUCUUCAGGUAAAAUAUACAAGACAAUGAUAGGUAUUAGC